AAGAGGACCACCGGCGGCUGUACUCUCCGAUCAGCGGCGGCGAACGAUGGAGAAGUACUUCGGCAACCCCUACCGCGGCGACCCCGGCGUUCCCCACGCCAACCCGGAGCGAUUCGUGGACAUCUGGAUCGGCUCCGUCGUCUUCUCCGCCCUCACCUGGGUCAACCCCUACAUGUGGCAGCUCUCUAACCAGUUCAACUGGCAUGAUAAAGCCAUGAUGUUCGAG
rnacentral:misc_RNA from 1 species